UUUGAAAAAGAAAUCUUUUGUAACAUUAUACAUGUCUUUACUGUCACAUUUGAUCGAUUUAAUGCAUCUUUGGUGACCCCAAACCCUUAAACAGUAGUGUACAGUUUUAUAUAGAUUGUGAAAUUAAUCACUUUUUCGUCUUUGUGUGUUUUUUUUUUUUUUUUUUUUGUUAGCUUCUGUUUUGCUAGAUGGCCACUCAGCAUACUAGCUUAGUCAGUUAGCCUUCUAGCUUAUUCAAUAACCAAUGCGAAUUUUUAUUCAGGUUGUUUUUUUGUUUGAUCAGGCAUUACAAACGGCUACCCAUAUGGGCUCCAAGGCAUACUCGAUUGUUCAUGACACGCCCUGAACAUGAGUGCGUGACAGAGCGAGAGGCGCGACGUGAGGGCCGGGAAGCGUGAGCGCUAGAUGGAGACAGCUAGGCAUAGUUCCAGGGCUUCCUGUGCCACCUGGGCAUCUUAAAGUCUGCCAGUCUGUCGGUACGGGAGACCCAGCUGGACCGAGGGCUGUGAGGGUGUGUUGGUGGAAUCGGUAAUGAAGAUUUAGAGCCAAGAACAUUAGCCGUCUUGAGCCUCAGACCCACCCAGGAGCCCCCAGGGUGCUCAACCUUGAGCUUGUUGCCCUCUAUGUGAUCGUGUCUCCAAUUGUUCAUGGUGAGAUACAUUUGUGCGCAUGUGGAGACUUGUUUUGUUAUUGCAAAUGUUUACGUAGGUCCUUGAGUUUAAUGUAAUAGAGAAUUGACAUGGACCUUUUUUUAAUUUUUCUGAGCUACAAUUAUCAUCUAACACCUUCCUGUUCAUUAGAGACAGGUGUGCUUAAUAAAGGUAUGCAGUGUGGUUACUGCGGAAGGUGUGAAGGUGCUCUUUGAACAAACUAAGCCAUUCCAGACUCACUGCCAGUGAAAUUCUAUUGAACUUGUGUCUGGCAUGAAAUGCACAAUGUUUGGACUGGAAUACUGCAUAAUGCACAGUAUAUACUGUAUAGACCUUAGUCAGGGUAAUGCAAAUUCUUGACAAAAUUUCCAUACAACUAUUUUGGAAGUUGUGAUUUUUUUUUUUUUUUUUUUUUUUUAAAUCUUAGGAUCUUAUAGAGUAAUUGCCGUUGUAAAGACUUUAAAAUUCUGUUUCCACAUAAUACAGUACUACUUUUUUAAAAGCCUGGUUUUCCAAAGAAAAAUAUUUGAGUAAGCUAAUUCAUACAUUCAAUUUAAAAUUAUCAUGUAAUCUCAACUUAAAUAUUUUUAGUAGUGGUAACUUUGCUAGCUUUAAAUUGCUUAUUCAGUAAAAGCUACCUUGCUAAUUGGUAACACAAUGCUUUGAUAACAUUAGCAUAGCAUAGCACUUGCUGAAUGAGUACAGCAAUAUAAACAUUUAACACGUCUGUUGUCAAACUAAGCUCAUGGUCCACUCGUCACCAUGAUGUAUGCUUUAUUAAUCUUGCACCAAAACAUUAUGUAACA